rnacentral:lncRNA from 10 species
CCGGAAGGAAGGCCAUGAUUUCAGCUCUCUGGGAUUUGAGACAAAGAGGCCCCUUUUCUUUCAUUUUAUCUUUUCAUGUCUCUUCUUGCCAUGUACCCACAUGAUUGAGUGUGGGCUGAGGGUGAAUCCAAGAAGGGCUUUGUUUUGUGGUCAGUACAGGCUUUGGUCCACAGAGACAACAAUACUUUCAAUACUCUUUUGUUCUGCCCCAGAGGAGCUCAACACAGAAUUGCCUAGAACAAGAAACUGGUGAGAGAAGCUGCAGCCUGUUGAGACUCCACAAGACUGAAGAUAUGAAAAGAGGAAAUAUGCAUGAAUGCCCGCACGGAGAACCACCCCCACCUGCUGCUCCCGCUCUAAUGAUCACGCCCAUUAUCAACUGGGGGAUGGCUCUGUGCCUUGUCCUUGCAUUACAUGGACCAAGAACACUUCACAGGACUCAGAGAGGAACCCGAAAGGAAGAAGCUAUACGACUGGGGACACAUGUCUUAGAAGCACACUCAUUAGAUAAAGUGUCGCAUACUCUUUGAUAAGGCUUGUUACUAUGGAUGUUGUUUGCUAACAUUGACUAUUUUUCCUAACUGCUUAUAGAAACUCCAGGCUGUCACCCAUCUGUUCUCUCAUCAAAGUAGUUUUGGGCCAGCAACUAUUUCAGACAUUUCUACAGUUUCAGAUGUCUCACUCUGCCUAUGACUGUAUGUUGUACUUGAGGACUGGACGCACAGGGUAAAGUGCAAAUAGCAAGCAUUCAGGUCCAACUCUCCUCCUUCUGGUUAACAAUAUGAAAGAAAGAGGUAGUAUCGGAAUUAUUUUAGUUCAAUGUAGCCAU